CAACAGGUGGAGCCUGCGGUUUAAUCGGACUCAACGCCGGGAAACUCACCAGAUAAGACAGCUGAAUGAUAGUCGGGCUGAAGACUCUACUUGACUAGCUGAGAGGAGGUGCAUGGCCGUCGUCAGUUCGUACUGUGAAGCAUCCUGUUAAGUCAGGCAACGAGCGAGACCCACGCCAACAGUUGCCAGCUCGUCCUCCGGGAUGGUGGGGACACUGUUGGGACCGCCUCUGCUAAGGAGGAGGAAGGAAUGGGCAACGGUAGGUCAGCAUGCCCCGAAUUAUCUGGGCUACACGCGGGCUACAAUGGGUGGGACAAUGGGUAUCGACACCGAAAGGUGAAGGCAAUCUCCUAAACCCAUCCGUAGUUCGGAUUGUGGGCUGCAACUCGCCCACAUGAAGCUGGAAUCUGUAGUAAUCGUGUCUCAAAAUGGCACGGUGAAUAUGUCCCUGCUCCUU
rnacentral:rRNA from 1 species